UACGGAGGAUCCAAGCGUUAUCCGGAUUCAUUGGGCGUAAAGAGCGCGUAGGCGGCUUGUUAAGCGAGGUGUGAAAUCCGGGGGCUCAACCCGCGGCUUGCAUCUCGAACUGGCAGGCUUGAGUCUGGUAGAGGAAAGUGGAAUUCCCAGUGUAGCGGUGAAAUGCGCAGAUAUUGGGAGGAACACCAGUGGCGAAGGCGGCUUUCUGGGCCACGACUGACGCUGAGGCGCGAAAGCUAGGGGAGCAAACAGG
rnacentral:rRNA from 1 species